UACGAAGGGGGCUAGCGUUGCUCGGAAUCACUGGGCGUAAAGGGUGCGUAGGCGGGUUUUUAAGUCAGGGGUGAAAUCCUGGAGCUCAACUCCAGAACUGCCUUUGAUACUGAAGAUCUUGAGUUCGGGAGAGGUGAGUGGAACUGCGAGUGUAGAGGUGAAAUCCGUAGAUAUUCGCAAGAACACCAGUGGCGAAGGCGGCUCACUGGCCCGAUACUGACGCUGAGGCACGAAAGCGUGGGGAGCAAACAGG
rnacentral:rRNA from 1 species